CCUACGGGAGGCAGCAGUGGGGAAUAUUGGUCAAUGGACGCAACUCUGACCCAGCAACGCCGCGUGAAUGAUGAAGGUCUUCUGAUUGUAAAGUUCUUUUCUAAUGGAAGAAAAAAGUGACGGUACCUUAGGAAUAAGCCUCCGCUAACUACGUGCCAGCAGCCGCGGUAAUACGUAGGAGGCAAGCGUUAUCCGGAUUGACUUGGCGUAAAGGGUGAGUAGGUGGUUUGACAAGUUAGUAGCGAAACUCCGGGGCUCAACUUAGGAACUACAACAGAAACUGGUGAACUUGAGUGCAGGAGAGGUAAUCGGAAUUCCUAGUGUAGCGGUGAAAUGCGUAGAUAUUAGGAGGAACACCAGUGGCGAAGGCAGAUUGCUAGACUGUAACUGACGCUGAGGCACGAAAGCGUGGGGAGCAAACAGGAUUAGAUACCCGAGUAGUC
rnacentral:rRNA from 1 species